rnacentral:rRNA from 1 species
AACGAACGCUGGCGGCAGGCCUAACACAUGCAAGUCGAACGCCGUAGCAAUACGGAGUGGCAGACGGGUGAGUAACACGUGGGAACGUGCCCAAAGGUACGGAACAACUCCGGGAAACUGGAGCUAAUACCGUAUGUGCCCGAGAGGGGAAAGAUUUAUCGCCUUUGGAUCGGCCCGCGUCUGAUUAGCUAGUUGGUGAGGCAAUGGCUCACCAAGGCGACGAUCAGUAGCUGGUCUGAGAGGAUGGCCAGCCACACUGGGACUGAGACACGGCCCAGACUCCUACGGGAGGCAGCAGUGGGGAAUAUUGGACAAUGGGCGCAAGCCUGAUCCAGCCAUGCCGCGUGAGUGAUGAAGGCCCUAGGAUUGUAAAGCUCUUUCGCCAGGGACGAUAAUGACGGUACCUGGAUAAGAAGCCCCGGCUAACUUCGUGCCAGCCGCCGCAGUAAGAC